UGUGCAAUAAAACCAUUAAAAUUUAUAGACCACAUGUUUGUGCCGCCAGCCCGUGUGUGGCACACGGCCGUGUGCCAGACCGUGUGCACCUAGAAAAUUUUGUUCUAAAACAUGUAAGUUAUCCAUGUGACACUUAUACCACAAGCUACCAUUUACAUCAACUUUAACACAUUCAAAAACAUUUAAUUUAAACUCAAAACAUUAUUGGAACAAUCAUCUUAAGAGUCUAACCAAUAUACCACAAUUGGCACCUCAAAAGCACAAUUUAAAAACUAACUAAAUGAUCACAUUCAUUCAUGUCAAUAUACCCUCAUUAAUUUCUCAAGAAUUCAUUCUACACACGUAUACAUUCAACUAUCAUAUAUUUAAGUAUCAAACCAGGACAACCUAUCAAAAUACCAAUCACAACUAUUAUCAUCACUCAAAAUGCAUACUUACAUAAUCUCAAAAAGACUAACUAAAUAUAAAAUGACCAUUUAAAACAUUAAACAUCCUAGGUACAUGCCAAGACCGAAAAGAACCAUUCACCAACAUUGAGUUCAAGAUUUGCCACUGUAUGCUGAGUCGACAAUCGGAUCAAUGAAUACCUAACCUGAGCACACAAUAGAAAAUAAAUCAUACGAUAAGUAAAACCUCAUGGCAUUUUUAUAGUUUGGAUAUUUAAACAUAUUACGAAAUAGCCAAGUACGCAAUUUAAAUACCAUAAGAAAUAUGCAAAGAAACAUGUAGCUUUCAUAUUUUCAGAACUACAUUCAUCAAAUCUCUCUAGAGUUUCUAAUAUGAAGCAUCUCACUUUAUUUUCUUUACUCAAUAAAAAUAACCACAUAUAUAUCUUAUUUCAUUCUAACUUUAGUAUCGUUCAUUAUUCAGUGUUAAUUUCGAUUCCCAUUUCUUAUCUUCAUUUUCCUUGUUAACGUGAUUCGAACUUGGACGUCUACGCGAAUCCAACCAUCACACCAAAUUUGGCACUCAGUGCUUGACGGAUAAAUUCGUAAAUAAUGAAAUGCGCCUUGCGCUAGCCACUAAAACCGACAAAUGAGUGUGUCAGCACUGGUCGGUAUAACCGAAAAAUAAAUAUGCCCUGUGCUAGUUAAUAAAACUGAAAAAUGAGUGUGCCCAGAACUGGUCGGUAUAACCAAAAAGUAAAUGCGCCUUGCGUUGGUCGGUAAAACAUACAAAUGAGUGUGCCUAGCACUGGCCGGUAUAACCGAAAAAUAAAUGAACCCUGCGCUGGCCAGUGAAACCAACAAAUGAGUGUUCAUUCAUUUCAAAACCAAUGUUUCAAUUUCAUUUUAACAUUUCACCAAUUUGUUCCAAAGACUAACUCUCUUAAUAUACUCACCAAACAAAGUAAUAUAUAUAUAUAAGAACAAUAAUUGAAAUAGUUGGGUUAUAGAAACACCAACCUUUGAACAUUAUAACUGAACAUACAUACAACAUAGUUUAUAACAUUCACCCACUUUAUAAUUUCUGACUACAGUAUCGAUGGACACGCGAAUAACACUAAUAUUGUAAGAAUCGAAUAGUGUUAAAACAACAAUAUUUGAACAACCUUGAAUUACACUCGUUUAUUGAUACGAGAUCAAAGGCCUGACAAAUGCGUUCCAAACUAAAUGGGACCAUUCAGGAGUUUGUUACCAAGGCCUUAGAUGCAUACACGAAAGAACGGGAAAAUCAAGAUUUCAAAUCUUGGGAAUCUUGGUCCAAGAAACCAAAUCUUGCAGCCAAAGCGCAUUGGAUCUCCGUUACGAGCAUCAACGAUUCAAUUUUGGUAGGAGAUGGAUCACAAUCCCAAAUUCUUGAAGUCAAGGCCCAAUAAAAAGAUUCCAAGCCCAAUCAAGAAAUCCACCCAUACUUAGUCGAAAAUCAGGCCAAAUUGUCAAAGUGGCCCAAGUUGUAAAGUUUUAUAUUUAUUUACUUAUUUAUUUUACUUAGUUUAAAUUUUUAUGUAAAUAUCCAGCUCAAGAGUCCCAAAUAAAGACCCUUGGCCGAAUUUCCAUAUUAAAAUAAUUAGGAGUUUUUUUAUUUUAGUUUUCUAAUUAGAUUAGGAAAACACUUGAGAGGCCUAUAUAAAGGCUUGGCCGGCCACCUUGUUAUUCACUUCUCAAUUAUAUCAAAAAUUUCAGAUUUGUUUAAGUGCAGAAUUCUCUUUGAGUUUUUCUCCAAGAAUUCUCUCUUGGGUUUUCUUUAAAAGUUGUUUUAACAAUCUUUUGAUUGUGGGAGCCAUCUUCAGCCUUCUUCUUGCCAUUGAUAUUCUUGGAGGGGAGAUUAGAGCCGUUUGAAGGGAGUUGUGAGAUCUUUCGGGAUUUCAAGGCUUCUCAGGACUUAUCUUUUAAUUUCUUGCUGUCAAUUCUUUCUUUAUUUCUGCUUGUGCCGAAUCUUUAUCUAAUUUAUUUGCUGUUCUUAUUGUGUUUCCAGCCUUUUUUCUAUCUUAAAGAAUCAGCCAAAAAUCCCCAAUUUCUAGGGUUCUUGUCGAUUCAUCCUUACUCUUUUUGGGUGAAAUUAGAUUGCCGAAAUUUGGGGAAAACUAUCUUGGUGUUCAAUUGGGCAGAAUCGCAAUCUCCUUUAGGGUUUCAAGAACCCUUAUUAACACUUAUUUCUAUUCUCAAUUUGAUUCUUUGUUGAUUUGGGGAUUUUAUUUCAGAUUUAGAAAUUCAAAGUUCUAAUCUUUUAAUUUUCUGUUUCGUUUCAGAUCUGAUUGUUUAGGGUUUUCAUAGGAGUUUCCCGUGACUUGGCAACUCGAUCUUGGUCCGCGCUCAACCCCCGUAUCAUUUAUCCUUCCCAUUGAAAUGAUAAUAUAACAGAAAAAAUCAAGUAAAGCAUUAAAUCAGCAUGAAGUAUAUCAGAUAUAACCAACUUUGGGAAAACACUUAUUUACCUAUAAUAUCAGCAUUAAAAUCGGCAUAAACACUUAUUUAAUCCUAACAUUUAAUUUAACAUAAACAUAAUAGAAAUGUCUACUUGGACAACACUUAAAACAUGCUUUGGAUGACAUUUAAAACAUAUUUUGGACAACAUUUAAAACUUACUUUGACAGCAUUUGAAACAUACUUUUGCUGGCACUUAAUGCAUAUCAAAUGUUACAGAGAUACAAACAGGCUUCUGCUCAAUUUCAAUCUGAUUAAUAUAAACAAAUCAAUUCCAUAUAACUACUUCAAGAUAACUCAAUUCUUUCUUGGCAUCGGACUGUAGCAAUAAAUAACACAAAAUAUCAUAACAUACAAAAUUUAAUAAGCAUCAAACUAAGAAUUUGCUCACCGUAAACUUCGGGUUAUUCAAAUCGUAAUCAUUUAAUUCAUAUUUUUUGAUUUAAACCUUUAAUGCCAAAAAUAUUAUAUAAAUGACAGUUCAAAUAGUGAGCAAAGCAAUAUAAUAGAAAUGCAUCAUCAAUUAAUAGUGUAAGUCCCAUAUGAACUUACCUGACAAAAAUGGUGACACGCAAAACGCCGAGGACUAAUUCGCAAAAAAAAAGACUUUUCCUCAACUAUCCCCUGAUUACCUCAAAUCUCGAUCUAUACAAUAAUUUAUUUCGAUUUAUCAAUUUCAAACAUGUCAAAACAACCUAUUAUAAUCAUAUAUAUUAAUUCAAAAAAAUUCAAUGAUCCCUAAAGUUUUGUAUUUUAUUCAAUUUAGUCAUUAAAACCGAAAUGGUUAUAUCUUGCAAAUUUGAGAACCAAUUUUUAAAAAGAUUUCAAAUACUUCCCAUUACAACCCUCUGCUAUCAAUAAUUAUAGAAAAUUAAUACCAAUUUUGAAAUAUUUUAAUUUUUGUCCCUAUAUUCAAAACUAACAAUUAAACUUUACAAAUUAGUCUCUCUUUUUCUUUUUCCAAAUCUAAACUUAAAAAGUUAACCAUUUAACACCAAAACUUCAAACAUUCAACUAAAGUAACAUCUUCAAAUUUUAACAAUAACAAAAAUUACAAGAUGGGUCGGCUAGCUUAUAGUACCGGAAUUUCAAAAACAUAAAAAUUAUAAGAAAAUAACUAAAUUGCACUAACCAAUUUGAAGCUUGAAAAGUUUAAACCCCAUGCGUCCUUCUCCUUUCUUUUUUCGAAAAGGCUAGGAUGAAAAGAGAAUAAUCUCUCUCUUCCCAUCCACUAAUAUCAUCUUUUAAUUUCUUUUUGUCUUUUUUGUCUUUUAACAAUAAUUUUACUAAAGUUUACAAAUAUAA
rnacentral:lncRNA from 1 species